rnacentral:rRNA from 1 species
CACGUAGGGUGCGAGCGUUGUCCGGAAUUAUUGGGCGUAAAGAGCUCGUAGGCGGUCUGUCGCGUCGGCUGUGAAAACUCGGGGCUCAACCCCGAGCCUGCAGUCGAUACGGGCAGACUAGAGUGCUGUAGGGGAGACUGGAAUUCCUGGUGUAGCGGUGAAAUGCGCAGAUAUCAGGAGGAACACCGGUGGCGAAGGCGGGUCUCUGGGCAGUAACUGACGCUGAGGAGCGAAAGCGUGGGGAGCGAACAGG